UCCGGCUUAUCACCGGCAGUCCCAUUAGAGUGCCCAACUGAAUGUGGCAACUAAGGGCAGGGGUUGCGCUCGUUGCGGCACUUAAGCCAACACCUCACGGCACGAGCUGACGACAGCCAUGCAGCACCUGUGCACACGCUCCGAAGAGAAGACGAUUUUCACCGCCGGUCGUGUGCAUGUCAAACCCAGGUAAGGUUCUUCGCGUUGCGUCGAAUUAAACCACAUGCUCCACCGCUUGUGCGGGCCCCCGUCAAUUCCUUUGAGUUUCAGCCUUGCGGCCGUACUCCCCAGGCGGGGCACUUAAUGCGUUAGCGCCGACACUCAGGGGGUCGCUCCCCCAAGCAUCUAGUGCCCAUCGUUUACGGCGUGGACUAC
rnacentral:misc_RNA from 1 species